UGUUUUCUGGCAGGAGUAACAGGUUCAAACCGUGGCUUGAACUUGAUAUCUUGGAUGGAUUUUCGCCGAUGGAAUCACCUCAAACUCUCAAGCAAAAAGACGUUUACUCUUAGGAUCCUUUCUGACUCAUAAAAACAACUUUAAAACCAGUUUCAACCGUGGAGAGUUGCUGAUCAAACUCUAGGGAUUUCGCCUAGGGAGUGAACACCAUGUCCUUGGCCGAACCCAGCUUUAAAACUAUCCAACAAAAUUACACCCUUUCACCAAAAGAUAACACGCACUAACCUUUGAGUUUCUUGAGGAGUGUCACACGCCACAAUCUCCUUUGUUGCCUUAGGUGAUAGUAGCCUUCCCUUAGACUUAUCUGGCCUCUAACCUCCACUUGUGUUCGAUGAAGGCCACACCUAGAUUGCUGUGAGUUAAUUGGGAAAAAACGUAGGCUGUUGAGGUCGCAAUACGCCUGAGCACACCUUGAUCCUCUAGCCACCAAUUUCGUUGGUGGAGUGGUUGAGGAAGAGAACAAGAAACUAAGGAGAGGGAGAAGAUUGACCGCCGGUAUGGAGAGACUUGCGUGAGGGAAGAAACCAGCCAAGGCCGGCACUUGAUUAGUUGAUUAUUCUCUUUACCUCCUAACAUCCUUUUUAAUGGAAAGGGAAUGGAAAGAGAGAGAAGAGAAGGGUGCUUCACUUCUCAGCCUUGAUAAUCUGACCAAUCCCUUUUUAACAAAGUGAUUGUGAUGUCAUAAAGCCAAAGCCAUCCUUCUAUCCUCUCCAUUGCUUAUUCUUCUCUCUCUUUCACCGUGCCUUAAUCGAUACACUCUACUUCCUUUUCUUCUUUUCUUCACCAACUCUUUCAUUCUUGGUCAUCGAUCUCGCUCGCCUUGCCUCUCCCCUUUGUUGUUUGUGAAGCCAUUUUCUCUCGUUCCGUUCUUCCCACCCGGUCUCUUUUUUUUCUUGGGCGGUGGAUGGAGAAGUCGAAGGAGAGCAACUCAGUUGCCAAGGUGAACCCUGUCCCGGAAUCUCAGUACAUUGCCGUUGAUGACACCAACGGAUCAAAUUCGAUGUUGCCGGAGUCGGUCGCGCGGUAGCCUGCUACAAGGUCGUUCACGAGUCUUAGCCAUGUGGACACCUACCUCGCCCUCGCAUGGACUCUGCAGGAACAGAUUCCCAUUACAGGAUAAGAACUCAUUAUUUUCCUUUCGGUUUCUUGUUCUUGUUUUUUGAUUGGUCGGUUUUAUGGGUAUGGAACCUCCGUGUAAAUUGCGUGUUGAAAUUGAAUCUUAUUCUAGGGUAUUGGCCAUGAUGUAGUCAUCAUCUCUUUCUGUCUGAGUCCUACGCUUUGUGGGGGCAGCAACAGGCGCAUAUAAUGCUGGGUAUGGCGGGAGAGCAUAGUGGAUACGCAAGCUCAUCCACCGGAGGCUUAAUCUCGGAAGACGAGAUGGAUCGACUGCAUGAUGUCAACAACGUUGAAAGCCAUGGAGGAGUAGAAGAAAGCAAUAGUAAUGUUGAUGUUGAGAAUGAAGGCAGUCGUGGCGAUGAAUGGAAGACAAAGAAGAAGAUGGCGAAGAUGAUGAUGAUGAUGAUUUGUUUGAUGUGCAUGGACACGAGGAGAUUGACCCAGCUGAAUUUGAAAGUAAUGAGGCGUACGCAAGGGUGCUUCAAGAUGUAGAGGAGAGGGAAUUGGCUGUUCGAUUGAUGGCUUUUAUGGGUAUUCAUGGGUGUAAGCAAUUGCCCUCUUCAUGCAACUUUUCUUGGCCUUUGAUGGAGGGAACUGUGGUUCUUUUUCUAUAAAUAUUCCGUAUGACCCAAGUAGAAUUGGAGAAAAGUUGAUGUUUGUCGCUUUGCAGGCGAAUCAAAAUGACAAUGAUGAAAAUGGUAGCAAUUAUCAGGUAUCCUCUAGAGCUCACUAAUCUCUAAUACUCAUGUGUUUAUCUAAUUACACAAUAAAUAUAAGAUCAAUGAUAGAGGGAUACACGUGUGCGAGUCAUAUCAAGCUUGUUAAUCCUCUUGUGACAUAAAUUUAUAAUCAUAUCCUUUUCUUUCU